UACGUAGGUGGCAAGCGUUGUCCGGAAUUAUUGGGCGUAAAGCGCGCGCAGGCGGUCCUUUAAGUCUGAUGUGAAAGCCCACGGCUCAACCGUGGAGGGUCAUUGGAAACUGGGGGACUUGAGUACAGAAGAGAAGAGUGGAAUUCCACGUGUAGCGGUGAAAUGCGUAGAGAUGCGGAGGAACACCGAUGGCGAAGGCAGCCCCCUGGGCUAAUACUGACGCUGAGGCACGAAAGCGUGGGGAGCAAACAGG
rnacentral:rRNA from 1 species